GGAAGCAAUUACGGAUUGGAAGCGACUGGACUGGACUAAACAAGGAUAGCCCUGCAAAGAUGAAAAGAAAGCUAUUUGAGAAACAAAAUGUUUAACAAAUUCAACGCCCCUCUCUUUCUGGGUCUUACAUUUCCCUGCUUCAACUAUUCUUGGUAGAGAAAAGAAUCGAUCUUUCAUCUAUAAAGCAAGCCACAGUCACUGUAUGUUAACCCUUUUGUCUGUUUAGCUUUACUUUUUCUUGUUUCUUGAUUCAGUUGUAUCUUUAAUGUAUUGCAUAUGUUUUACAUAUCGAUGCCAUUCUUGUGCUUUUUCACAUUUUCUAUGCCCGCUUCAUUCAUCCAUAGCAAUACAACUUCCUUCUCUUACUUAUGCUCACAAUGGAAAGUCAAGUAUUAGGAAAAACCUAGGAUUUUUAAUUCCUCUGCUCUGUCAAUGCAAAACCUGAUAUCUUAUUCAUACAAGAAAUUCGUUAAAUCUAGGACAGUGUAGUUAGGUCUCUCUGGCUUCGUAAUUGUGUUCUGCUCAUGGCAACUUUGGUAAAUUCAGUCUCUCCUUUAACCAACCCAUUCACUGACACUGCAAGAAUAGCUUGCGGAUUCUUUUCCCAUGUACCAAAUCUUCAUUCGUUCUCACUUAACAAAGGAUUUGCUAGGGUUUUAGCAUCUACCCAGAUCACAAUUUCCCCCAAAGACUCUGUCGUCACACUACCCAAUUGGAGAUCCGGUAAGAAUGACCAUAGAAAUAGAGAAACUAGGCUGAAUGAUGCAUUUUUCCAUCUGGAAUGUAUGGUUAAAAAGGGACACAAGCCUGAUGUUGUUCAAGCAACACAGAUGUUGUAUGAUUUGUGUAAGUCAAAUAAGAUGAAGAAGGCCAUAAAAGUGAUGGAAAUGAUGAUUGGGUCUGGUAUUAUUCCUGAUGCUGCUUCUUAUACUUUCUUGGUGAACCAUUUGUGCAAAAGGGGGAACGUUGGGCAUGCAAUGCAAUUAGUGGAGAAAAUGGAAGAAUAUGGCUAUCCAACCAAUACAGUUACCUAUAAUUCGCUUGUUAGAGGGCUUUGCAUGCAUGGAAACUUGAAUAAAAGCUUGCAGAUUCUGGAUAGGCUAAUGCAGAAGGGGUUGGUCCCAAAUGCAUUCACUUAUUCAUCCUUGCUCGAAGCAACUUAUAAGGAAAGAGGGGUGAAUGAAGCAAUGAGGCUUUUAGAUGAUAUUAUAGCCAGGGGUGGGCAGCCUAACUUGGUUAGUUACAAUGUUCUCUUGACUGGGUUGUGCAAGGAAGGUAGGACUGAGGCGGCAAUUCAAUUCUUCAGGGAUUUGCCAUCAAAGGGGUUCAAUCCAAAUGUUGUUAGCUAUAAUAUUAUACUGCGGAGUCUCUGUUACGAGGGACGAUGGGAGGAGGCAAAUGAGCUUCUAGCUGAAAUGGAUGAUGAGGAACGCUCUCCAUCCAUAGUUACCUAUAAUACACUAAUUGGUUCACUCGCCAUCCAUGGCAGGACAGAACAGGCCCUUCAGAUUGUUGAUGAAAUGAUGAGCGGACCAUUUAAGCCCACUGCUACAAGCUAUAAUCCAAUAAUUGCUCGCCUUUGCGAAGAGGGGAAGGUGGACAUUGUGGUUAAGUGUCUAGACCAAAUGAUUUAUCAUCGCUGUAAUCCAAAUGAGGGAACAUUCAAUGCCAUCGCUGUGCUCUGCAAGCAGGGAAAGGUGCAAGAGGCAUUCUCCUUAAUCCAAAGCUUGGGCAAUAAACAAAAUUCCUCCAUCCAUGAAUUCUACAAAGGUGUGAUCUCCUGCUUGUGUAGAAAGGGGAACACAUAUCCAGCAUUUCAGCUUUUAUAUGAGAUGACGAAGUAUGGAUUUACUCCUGAUUCUUACACUUAUUCAUCUCUAAUUAGGGGGUUGUGCAUUGAAGGAAUGCUGUACGAAGCUAUGGAGAUCUUCAGGUUAUUGGAAGAAAAUCAUUAUAGUCCUGAUGUUGAUAAUUUAAAUGCACUUAUACUAGGGUUUUGUAAAUCUCACAGAACAGAUUUGUCCUUAGAAGUUUUCGAGAUGAUGAUUGAGAAGGGGUACAUGCCUAGUGAAACAACUUAUGCUAUUAUAGUAGAAGGAAUUAUCCAUGAAGAGAAAAAGGGGUUGGCAGCAGAAGUUUUAAGAGAGUUGCAUCGGAGACAAGUCAUGAGUCAAAAUACAGUUGAAAGACUUUGUAUGCAAUAUGACCUUGAAGGUGUACCAGUAUAAAACCAUGUGCGCUAGCCAGAAUACAAAGAAUAACCACAAUAACCCUAGCUUGAGGAUCCCAACAGCUAUUCCUCUCCAAGAAAUUUAUAUUGUCUCUUCAGACUGAGAGUCAUGCCAAAUCACGAAAUUUGUGGACCGAUGAUUGACGAGCGGCUUCACUGGAACAUUGGAAAUUUGUUCAAAUUUUCCGAAGGUCAGGAGGGGGCUAUACAAUAUUUCUGCCUGCUUCGGUUUCUUUAUUAUGGGUGGACCAAGUAUUGUGCAGAUAUUGCAUGCUUAAAUGUGAUUUGCUGUGACAUAUAAUUGAUCAAUUACAUUCUUGAAAAAGAAAUGUAAUACAACAUUCAUUUGUGUACGAGUUGUACUCUUUUUGAGAAUGUUUAUAGAAUCAUGUCCCUUGAACUGGUCCGCUUUCGUUUGUGCUCUUCAAGGGGGAUGGCUGUGCGUGAGUCAUCAUAUACAUCUUGUCUACAGGGAUACUGUUCAAGGAUUUCUAGUGGCCUUAUUGGAAUCAUUUAGCAGAUAAUAAAUUAUAAAGGCUUUAUUUGUG
rnacentral:misc_RNA from 1 species